CCAUGAACCAGUUUAGUAGCCCUUCUCUGAACUCUCUCUAAAGUAUCAAUAUCCUUCUGGAGAUAUGGUCUCCUGUACUGCGUACAAUACUCCAAGUGAGGUCUCACCAGUGUUCUGUACAAUGGCAUGAGCACUUCCCUCUUUCUACUGCCAAUACCUCUCCCUAUACAACCAAGCAUUCUGCUAGCAUUUCCUGCUGCUCUAUUACAUUGUCU
rnacentral:lncRNA from 1 species